rnacentral:rRNA from 1 species
UACGUAGGUGGCAAGCGUUGUCCGGAUUUAUUGGGCUUAAAGGGUGCGUAGGCGGCCCUGUAAGUCAGUGCUGAAAUCUCCCAGCUUAACUGGGAGGGUGGCAUUGAUACUGCGGGGCUAGAGUACAGAUGAGGUAGGCGGAAUUGACGGUGGAGCGGUGAAAUGCGUAGAUAUCGUUUGGAACGCCAAAGGUGAAAACAGACAGCUGGGAGUGUGCUGACGCUGAGACACGAAAGCCAGGGGAGCGAACGGG